rnacentral:lncRNA from 1 species
UAAAUAUGUGUAAUUUGUAUUUGUUAAUUAUAGCUUGAUGAAGCUGGGGGCGAGGAAAACAAAAACUAAAAAGUGAAUGGCAAGAAAAAAGGCAACAUGAGGCUGUAGUUUGAAGAACACAAGGCAGUCAGGCCCUGGCCACAUGUCAGUCAGGACACACAAGAGGCCCGGCGCAAACACAACAAAGCCCGCAGACAUUCUGUCCCAACGAAGAACAGACGCCACUCCACUUUCUAGCGUCUUGACGGGCUAUCCAAGCGCGGAGUCAGUUUAUAAGAAUGAGAGCGCUCGCUGUGCUGUCUGUCACGCUGGUUAUGGCCUGCACAGAAGCCUUCUUCCCCUUCAUCUCAAGAGGGAAAGAGCUCCUUUGGGGUAAGUAGCAAACACAUUGUGGUCUUCUGGCCUUAUAAAGUUAUUUUUCACACUUACUAAAAUAGAGGGCAUAAUGGUAGCUCCUGAGAGUCAGUUUAGGCCCCUGUAGUGUAUGCUUUGUUAUGCUUAAGAAAAAAAAAUUGUAAUUCUUGAUUUUAGAAGGAUUGAAAUACGUACAUUUCUUUCUUUAAAAAAGAGCUGAUUUUACUUGGAUGACACAAUAGACAAUUUUCACUUUUACCUAUUCAUAUAUUUGAAAAAAAAAUUCUUUGGGAGUGUUUUUCUUCCUUUGCUACAGAAUUAUUUUUUAUUAAAUAACUUCUGUGAUGUAUUUUCUGGAAUCAGUGUGCUACUAUGUGAAAACAAGUUAAGAAAGCUACUGAGAGGCAGGGGUUAAAAUAAUCACAGAUCAAACUCUUUGCUUUUCUUUUGAUAAAAUAAAUAAAGUUCCAAACCCUGAGAACAAGUCUCACUGGAGUGAACACUGCAGGGGCAUUUGCCUGGACAUUUCACCCCAUGGACACCGCUGGCCCCGGGAGCAGAUGACACCUCGCUGGGCAGGUCCCUGGGCCUCUGGACACAGUCCUGGGGCCCCUGGAGCAGGUGACACCUUGCCAGGCAGGUCCCUGGGCCU